UUUUUUUCCUUCCCAUYUCUGCUGUGAGUUUGUUGGGUUAUCCAAGGGCUGGUCUUGUGACAGUGCCAGGAUCCUUGACAAACAUCAUCUGGCCCUUUGCUAACUGGAGUUUAUGGUCAAAAUGGGACAAUGCUGUAAUAUGUUGUCAUUGGAGAGAAACAACCAGCUGGGACUCUUGAUGCUUACUGGGGACUAGAGCAAUGCUAAUCUGUGGAAUGGCCCUAAGGGAAGGCAUGUCAUUCCCAGGAGGCCUAGGACUGAGCGGUUCCUGUGCAGCAGAGGAGAAGGACACUCAGGAGGCAGCAGGCUGUUGAACAAGGCUUUCCUGUGAAGGAAGAACAAUUUAAAUCUCAACCAUAACUCUGUAGUAUCUCUCUUCUGUUAAUCCAGUCAGUGUGAUGCUGUACCCUGAACUUAAACAGUAGUCUACUGCCUCAAUUAUUAAUUCUUUUUUCUUUGGACAUGAAAAUUAUUUUUCCCUUUAUGGAAUAAUAUUGACAGUCCACUGCCAAACAGAAAGAGAAGGGGUAAAUCAGUGAGUCUUUGAUUUCUGUUAAUGUUAACCUUGAGCAUCUCUGYAUAGCAAUGCUUAGCUAUGAAACACUGGAAGACUUGUUGCAGUCUUUGUGCAUCUUUCUUYGUGGCUCCCUCCUGGCAAUUGGGAUUUAGUGACCCACUGCCAGAGGUGACUAGGGCCCUCUGAACCUGGGGCUGCAUCAGCUCAUUACCAGGAACAUUGUCCUGGGAGGUGGAUGGACGUAGCCCUUGCAGCCCUUGUCUCUCUUCCCCUUGUUAACCAUUAUCUUCCCAGCUUCUGGACAUUGGAGCAUGUAGGUGCCCAGCUCCUGCACAAACAUCAGCUGUUGAGA